rnacentral:rRNA from 1 species
AUGCAGCGGAGGUUCGUGGAUGCGAUGACAAUAGUGCAAUGGUGGGGUAAACCGGAUUACUUUGUCACAAUGACUUGCAAUCCCUAUUGGGAGGAGAUAACCGAGAAACUGUUGCCUGGACAACUCCCGCAAGACCGUACAGACCUGGUGUCAAGAGUAUACAAAGCUAAACAACAAGAUAUGAUGGACUUACUAACUAAGGGUAAGCAUUUCGGAGAAGUCGCAGCUUAUGUACAUGUCACGGAGUUUCAGAAGCGAGGUCUCCUGCAUGAGCAUAUACUCCUAAUCAUGAAAUCAAAGAGCAAGUUAGCGACCCCAAAUGACUAUGAUCGGGUGAUAUGUGCUGAGAUACCUGACAAAGAGAAACACCCUGUUCUGCAUGAUUUGGUCGUGAAACACAUGCUACACAGACCGUGUGGUGAGUUGAAAAAAAGGUGCCCUUGCAUGAUUGAUGGACAGUGCCAGUUUCAUUACCCACGAGAUUUUUGUGAUGCCACACAACAAGAAAAAGACUCAUAUCCCAUCUACAGGAGGCGGGACGAGGGGCGCCGAAUUAGGAUCAGAGGAGCAGAUUUGGACAAUAGAUGGGUGGUUCCUUACAACCCUUCACUGCUUAUGUGA